GAGUUUGAUCCUGGCUCAGGAUGAACGCUAGCUACAGGCUUAACACAUGCAAGUCGAGGGGCAUCAGGAAGAAAGCUUGCUUUCUUUGCUGGCGACCGGCGCACGGGUGAGUAACACGUAUCCAACCUGCCCUUUACUCGGGGAUAGCCUUUCGAAAGAAAGAUUAAUACCCGAUAGUAUAAUGAUUCCGCAUGGUUUCAUUAUUAAAGGAUUCCGGUAAAGGAUGGGGAUGCGUUCCAUUAGGUUGUUGGUGAGGUAACGGCUCACCAAGCCUUCGAUGGAUAGGGGUUCUGAGAGGAAGGUCCCCCACAUUGGAACUGAGACACGGUCCAAACUCCUACGGGAGGCAGCAGUGAGGAAUAUUGGUCAAUGGGCGGUAGCCUGAACCAGCCAAGUAGCGUGAAGGAUGAAGGCUCUAUGGGUCGUAAACUUCUUUUAUAUAAGAAUAAAGUGCAGUAUGUAUACUGUUUUGUAUGUAUUAUAUGAAUAAGGAUCGGCUAACUCCGUGCCAGCAGCCGCGGUAAUACGGAGGAUCCGAGCGUUAUCCGGAUUUAUUGGGUUUAAAGGGAGCGUAGGUGGACUGGUAAGUCAGUUGUGAAAGUUUGCGGCUCAACCGUAAAAUUGCAGUUGAUACUGUCAGUCUUGAGUACAGUAGAGGUGGGCGGAAUUCGUGGUGUAGCGGUGAAAUGCUUAGAUAUCACGAAGAACUCCGAUUGCGAAGGCAGCUCACUGGACUGCAACUGACACUGAUGCUCGAAAGUGUGGGUAUCAAACAGGAUUAGAUACCCUGGUAGUCCACACAGUAAACGAUGAAUACUCGCUGUUUGCGAUAUACAGUAAGCGGCCAAGCGAAAGCAUUAAGUAUUCCACCUGGGGAGUACGCCGGCAACGGUGAAACUCAAAGGAAUUGACGGGGGCCCGCACAAGCGGAGGAACAUGUGGUUUAAUUCGAUGAUACGCGAGGAACCUUACCCGGGCUUAAAUUGCAGUGGAAUGAUGUGGAAACAUGUCAGUGAGCAAUCACCGCUGUGAAGGUGCUGCAUGGUUGUCGUCAGCUCGUGCCGUGAGGUGUCGGCUUAAGUGCCAUAACGAGCGCAACCCUUAUCUUUAGUUACUAACAGGUCAUGCUGAGGACUCUGGAGAGACUGCCGUCGUAAGAUGUGAGGAAGGUGGGGAUGACGUCAAAUCAGCACGGCCCUUACGUCCGGGGCUACACACGUGUUACAAUGGGGGGUACAGAAGGCAGCUAGCGGGUGACCGUAUGCUAAUCCCAAAAUCCUCUCUCAGUUCGGAUCGAAGUCUGCAACCCGACUUCGUGAAGCUGGAUUCGCUAGUAAUCGCGCAUC
rnacentral:rRNA from 1 species